rnacentral:rRNA from 1 species
GUUGCGAACGGGUGAGUAACGCGUAGGUAACCUGCCUGGUAGCGGGGGAUAACUAUUGGAAACGAUAGCUAAUACCGCAUAAUAUUGACUAUUGCAUGAUAGUCAGUUGAAAGGUGCAACUGCACCACUACCAGAUGGACCUGCGUUGUAUUAGCUAGUUGGUGAGGUAACGGCUCACCAAGGCAACGAUACAUAGCCGACCUGAGAGGGUGAUCGGCCACACUGGGACUGAGACACGGCCCAGACUCC